ensembl:lncRNA
AUGUGCUUUGGGCCAUACCUACUUCAUUGGGUCUUCAUGUUUCUUGUGAAAGCUCCCAGGACCCACCCUUGUUGAGAUCAUAGGAGGCAGCUGUGGUCAUCCCAUUCCCCUCCGGUAGAUGUGUGCUUGCCCAGCAGCUCUCCUUAUCGGUUUAGGAUUUUGGAAUGGCUGAUGGUGACUUCACAGCUUCUUCAGCUUCACAGAUGUGAUGAUGCCAGAGAUUAUCUUGUACAGAGAUUGUACCUCCCAGCUUCCCUACUUGGAGAGAAACAAGCGUGGAAAUGGAGCAGCAGAAGUGCCUCUUCGAGGAUCUAGAAGAGAUCUAAGCAGCUGCUUCUGGAGAAAUCUCUUAGAGAUAGAAGCCGCAGAGUUGAGACUGUGUACCCAGCUGGAGACCAGCUUCAUGCUAGAUCUGAGUGGAUCCUGUGGCUGUUCCAGUCAACAGAAUAUGGCAGAAGUGAUGCUAAAUGGUUCUGAGGCUCUUCCCACUCAAUCUCUGCCCGGUGUCCUGGGACAUUUAUUCUGGUGGAGAGAUAAUUCCAGUAUAAGAGGUACAGCUACCCUGGAGGGCCACGUCUAUAGACCCUGUUGAGCAACCAGCUGACAGCAGCAUCCAGUGGCAGCCAUCUGUGUGAGCCAUCUGGGACGUCCAGUCUAGUUGGGCCCAUAGAUGAUCACAGCAUAGCCAACAUCUGACCACAACUAUGAAAAACCCCGUAUGAGAACUGCCCAGCCAAGCCCUUUGCAGAUUCCUGACUCAUAAAACUAUGAGAAAAAUCAAAUUGUUGUUUUACUCCACUAAGUUUUGGAAUGAUUUGUAAUGCAGGAUCAUUAACCAGGGCACAUAGCAACACUGAAGGGUCACUGCAAGGACUGAGUGAGAGAAC